GACUUGGCUGAUGGGGGGCACCUGCGUGGAAUCUCUUAACGCACCAACAGCUGGGUCUCCGGCAGAGGCCCACUCAACAAGCAGACCCUGGGAAAGUGCCGGGCCCCUGACCUCCAGGAAAUCAAAGCUUGGUGUGGGGAGAUGGAUGACAACAGCCGACUUUUAUGGAGUUUUACUGUGUGCCAGACACUGGGCUAAGAACUUAUGCAAAUCCCUUCAUUCUUCUCAACAAGGGGCUGCUUUCUGGGGUUCCCCCAGGCAGAAUAAAUUGUUCCCUCAUCUGCGGUCCCAGAGUACCUUGUACGCUUGCACAGCCCUGAUGAGAUUACACUCAUCACCUCACCCAACCUCCUGGCAAAACCAACACGUGGGGAAGAGGACUGGCUUGCCGAAGGUGGCACUCUGUUGGUGGUGGAGCAGGGGACGAGCAGGAACGAAGGUCCCAGGCCUGGGCUUUUCUCUACAGCAGCUCAGGCCAGCUGAGAAUAUACACUCACAAGAAUUCUUCCAGGCUAGGUACUGGGAAACCAAAACUCAGGGAGUCUCCAUGAUUUGCCCAAGGCCAUGAUCACUUAUGUGGCCAAAUGAUUGUGUAUUUGCCGUGUGCCAGACACUGUACUAGGAGCAGUGACCAAGACAGAAAAGAUCUCUGCCCUCGUGGAACUUAUAGUCUAGAGGGAAGAGUGGACAUUGGACAAGUUAAAUAAAGGUAAUGGCCAGGAAGUAACCAGAGCCAAGAAGAUAAAUACAUCAAAGUGAUAAGACAGAGGGUGAGGGCAGGGGUGAGGAGCUGGCCCGGUGCCGUUGCACUUGAGCAAGUCGGGAGCAGAAACCCCACGGACAAGAAAACAACCUUGUGGACAGAAAGCAGGGCCAGGAUUUCCACUCCCACCUGCUGCUCCAAAGGGUGUGUGCUUCCCCAAUAAAACUGUGUUGUCACUAAAAAUGAGCCUUCCUUGUGGAGCGAGGUGACAGUGAGGAGACAAUAAAUCAAAGCAAGAAGUACUCAUGCGGAGUGGAUGACACUUGAGUUGGGGACCUGCAGCCUGGGCAGGAGCUGACAAAUGGCAAGGGAUAAGCCAGGCACCUCUUAAAUAGGGUUACCAAGGGAGCAAAGGCCUGGAGGAGGGGUUGGAGGUGCUGAAGCAGAGCAAACGGGCGCUGGGGGAAUAAGAGGGGACGCCCUGAUUUGAAUGUUUGCCAAUUUCCAUGGUGUAAAUACUCUCAACAUGGUCAAUUUCAAGGACACGCAAAACUGACUGGCAAAAUUCCUGGAAAAUCCAACAGUUGGCUUUGCUGAGUUGGUCCAAGCCAGGUCCAGCCCAUCACUGCUUCAGGUAUCAAGAAGGGGGCUGGCCAGAUAGCAUCCACCUGGGGAAAGAGCAAGGGAUGGUUUCAAAGAGUAUGUGUGUAAUGGAGAA